rnacentral:rRNA from 1 species
AAACCCUGGGUGGAUUAGUUAGUUGGGAGGUAUGGCUCACCAGGGGGACGUCCCUAGGUUGUUUGAGGAGAUGUUCACCCCAAGGGAAAUGAGACACGGUCCAGAUUCUUAGGGGAGGCAGCAGUGGGAAUAUUGCACAAUGGGCGCAAGCCUGAUGCAGCCAUGCCGCGUGUGUGAAGAAGGCCUUCGGGUUGUAAAGCACUUUCAGUCGUGAGGAAGGUAGUGUAGUUAAUAGCUGCAUUACUUGACGUUAGCGACAGAAGAAGCACCGGCUAACUCCGUGCCAGCAGCCGCGGUAAUACGGAGGGUGCGAGCGUUAAUCGGAAUUACUGGGCGUAAAGCGCAUGCAGGUGGUUUGUUAAGUCAGAUGUGAAAGCCCGGGGCUCAACCUCGGAAUAGCAUUUGAAACUGGCAGACUAGAGUACUGUAGAGGGGGGUAGAAUUUCAGGUGUAGCGGUGAAAUGCGUAGAGAUCUGAAGGAAUACCGGUGGCGAAGGCGGCCCCCUGGACAGAUACUGACACUCAGAUGCGAAAGCGUGGGGAGCAAACAGGAUUAGAUACCCUGGUAGUCCACGCCGUAAACGAUGUCUACUUGGAGGUUGUGGCCUUGAGCCGUGGCUUUCGGAGCUAACGCGUUAAGUAGACCGCCUGGGGAGUACGGUCGCAAGAUUAAAACUCAAAUGAAUUGACGGGGGCCCGCACAAGCGGUGGAGCAUGUGGUUUAAUUCGAUGCAACGCGAAGAACCUUACCUACUCUUGACAUCCAGAGAACUUUCCAGAGAUGGAUUGGUGCCUUCGGGAACUCUGAGACAGGUGCUGCAUGGCUGUCGUCAGCUCGUGUUGUGAAAUGUUGGGUUAAGUCCCGCAACGAGCGCAACCCUUAUCCUUGUUUGCCAGCGAGUAAUGUCGGGAACUCCAGGGAGACUGCCGGUGAUAAACCGGAGGAAGGUGGGGACGACGUCAAGUCAUCAUGGCCCUUACGAGUAGGGCUACACACGUGCUACAAUGGCGCAUACAGAGGGCAGCAAGCUAGCGAUAGUGAGCGAAUCCCAAAAAGUGCGUCGUAGUCCGGAUUGGAGUCUGCAACUCGACUCCAUGAAGUCGGAAUCG